AGUGUGCAAAUUUGCCAUAAAUCGGGAGAAAUAUGUGACCCCAGGAGGAUACCGGGAGAUGGCAAUGAAAAAUGGGAGUCUCCUGGGAAA